rnacentral:rRNA from 1 species
GACGGAGGAUGCAAGCGUUAUCCGGAAUUAUUGGGCGUAAAGCGUACGCAGGUGGUUUAUCAAGUCUGCUGUUAAAGCGCGAGGCUCAACCUUGUAUAGGCAGUGGAAACUGAAAGACUAGAGUGCGGUAGGGGUAGAGGGAAUUCCCGGUGUAGCGGUGAAAUGCGUAGAUAUCGGGAAGAACACCAGUGGCGAAGGCGCUCUACUGGGCCUGCACUGACACUGAGGGACGAAAGCUAGGGGAGCGAAAGGG